GGUCUGAUAGAACAUGGGCCAAAAUUGUGUCCCCUUCCCCGUCAGCUCCAUUGUAUUCUUCAUCAGGCUGGGCUGCUGAGCUCAGGACAACAGAGAAGAAAAGAACACUACCCCAGCAAGCUCUGCUGCCUGUUCUCAGCUGGCUUCCUGGGAGUGUCUGGGUAGCAGGGGAUGUGGCUGAGAAUUUCUGAUGACUCCCUGCCCCACACACAUCUGUCCCUGGCAGCAGACCCUGGUGUUGCCCCUUCCCAGCAGAGGAACCCCAUGGCAUGGGCCAGGACCCCGCUGUGCUAGGUGGUGUACAAACACAGGACAAAAGGCAGUCCAUGCCCUGAAGAGCUAGAGAAGCAGAUGGCAGUAACACCAAGAUCUGGGCUGACUACAUAGUAAGAGUCAGCACCUGCCUCGAAGAGCUUAUAUUCUAAACAGACAAGGAAAGAAAGGAAAUAUUGUGAUCCUCAUUUUACAGAUGGAGAGGCUGAGGUGCAGAGAGAGUAAUGACUUGCCCAGAGAAAGACAGAGGAAAUCUGCGGAAUCCAGGUCUGUUGAGCCACAGUCCAGUGCCUUAGCCACAAGACCAUCCUCCUACUGGAAGUCACAUUACUGUUAGGAUUUUGCUAAUUAUUCUCUCAGUCUUUCUUCUUCUGUGAUAGCCUUGGAUUUGGCAGCACAGGUCACAGAUCCCCUUGGUUCUUCUUAUUUUCUUGCCAUCUUUCCUACUUUCCGCCAGUCCUGAGGACCUUCCUUAGUUUUCAUUCUGUCCUCACUUAAGCAGAAACCUUUUGAAGUGAAAGGGAGUAGUGCAUGAGUAAAGAAUUUAAGAUUUGGCCCAGUGACUAGAACUGGGACUUUCUGGAAUUGAAUGUGUCUGCAAAAUGCUUCUGUCCUGUGGUUAUUUAGCUCCCUUCUCAGUAUUUGUGGUAAGGAUUUGUGCAAUUUUAGUGACGUGUGUAAUAAAGAUCUAAUCAUCAUGACCAGGGCAGUGUCUCCAUUUCACACCCAAUCCCCUUGUCUCCCUUUUCUUAACUAUCACUUCCAUGUCUAGAGCUCUGAUGCUCUCCAAGUCAAACACACGUCACUUUGUGCAGCAUCCUGGACAGCACCUCCCUUUGCUGCUCUUUCCUGCUUCUUGUUCCCAUUCUCGCAAGGGUGGCACCUUCUCUGGCUUGCUCAGCUGAGAAUGGAGAGGGGGAAAGGCCAUAGGGUGAAGGGAUAUUUUUGGAGUGAAGUUGUAAAGUGCCCCCUUGUUCAGACUUUUCCUCGCUCCAGCACUUUCCUGUCCCAUCAUGCUCCCGACAAUCAUCUGCCCCGUUGUGCCUCCACCCCCUCUCAGAGGGACUUGGCCUAAAGAUAGUAUUUAUAAUACAGUGUUUGGUGCAGGGUGAUGGUGUUAGCAGCACAGUGACAGAGGAGGGAGAAGAGAAUAUAGUAGACUCCUAUUUUCCUAAGUUAACAGUAACCUCCCAGGCCUGGUGAGGGGGCCUCAAGGGCAGUUGAGGCAGUCAUGUUACUACCCACACCCCGUCUCUAGCAGCGGUUGCUAUAAGAACUGCAAUUAGCAGCCAUUUGUUAUUAACCAAGAGAAAGGUGCAUUCCUGGCCUUGUCGCAAAGAAUUGGCUGGGAAUCCUGGGCUAGACCUGGAUUUCUGGCCAGGUUUCGAUGGACUGCAAGGCAGCCAGCCCUGCAUCGAACUGUAAUGGUGUGUUUCUUUCCAGAUCUUACUCUCUAGAGGGAGAAGCAGGGGGCACUGUCUGCUCACAGAUCCUGGAACUCUCCAACUGACUGCAUUAGAGGUAGCAAAGUACUGGAGAGGGACAAGUUGAGUAAUAGAAGGUGUCCUCUGGAGCUUGUUUGUGUGACUGAAUUAAAUGGCCUCCCCUGACCUCCUGCCAAACCUCUGCCCCCUUGGGUUUUCAGGGUUGCACCUUUAUGGGAAGGCUAUUUUUGAAAACUGUCCCACCUUUCUCUCUGCCCCAGGCCCCGUAAUAAGAGAAUAAGGAAGCACUUUGUAAAAUGAAUUGGUGGUAAAUUUAGAUCAAAUAAAAGGAAAUCCUUCCUCACACAGCAUGUGCUGCCACCCUGAUGGAAAGCACCGUCGGGAGCAGAUCAUCUAGGACCAGCACUGAGGCUGUAUUGUAGUAGGGCCUGCAUGGCUGGUUUUCUGACCUGUAAUAACACAGUAGUUAUAUGGGCUAAGAUAGUAAAGGCAAUUCAGGCCCCUGAUUCAGGCAUACUCUGAUCACCGAGGAGUGCAGGGGGGAGGGGGGAGUCAGGAAGGAAUACCCCACCCAACCCUCUCCAAUGUGCAGCACUAUACAAAUGGCUAUAUUAGUGAGGAGGAGGGGGACCCACACUCUUAAAACAGGCUGGCAAGCUGGUGUUUGAGCCAGGGAGGGGGGCCAUGGAGACGCUCUGAGGUGCACUGCAAACUGAGUAAAUGCCUUGAUUUUUGUUACUGUCCGGGCAAGUAGCGUAUCGGGGAAUUCCCCCUCAGCAAAGCAUCCUGACCGCAAAAUACCGCAGCUCUCAGCAUUUCUUCAUCCACUUC